rnacentral:rRNA from 1 species
CCUACGGGUGGCAGCAGUGAGGAAUAUUGGUCAAUGGGCUUACGCCUGAACCAGCCAAGUCGCGUGAGGGAAGACUGCCCUAUGGGUUGUAAACCUCUUUUGUCAGGGAGCAACGCCGGCUACGUGUAGCCGGACUGAGAGUACCUGAAGAAAAAGCAUCGGCUAACUCCGUGCCAGCAGCCGCGGUAAUACGGAGGAUGCGAGCGUUAUCCGGAUUUAUUGGGUUUAAAGGGUGCGUAGGCGGGCUUUUAAGUCAGCGGUAAAAAUUCGGGGCUCAACCCCGUCCGGCCGUUGAAACUGGGGGCCUUGAGUGGGCGAGAAGAAGGCGGAAUGCAUGGUGUAGCGGUGAAAUGCAUAGAUAUAUGGAAGAACACCAGUGGCGAAGGCGGCUCUCUGGUCUGCAACUGACGCUGAGGCUCGAAAGCAUGGGUAGCGAACAGGAUUAGAUACCCCUGUAGUC